GAAUGCCUAAAACUACUGUUACAUCGUAGUGUAACCUUCUUUCGAGAAGGGAGACUCGUUUUGAGACUCAUGUAUAAAUGCUCCCUAAAAGGAAAUCUUCUUCUAAAUUCUUCAAUAUCAACUCCUAGUAGACAUGAUUAAUAGGAUCAAUAGUGACGUGAAUUUUCGAGGUGUUACAAAUAGCGAUCCACGUAGUUAGACGAAAGACAUUAAACAUUCUUUAUGUUCCACUUGUAUGUGUGUAAAUUUGACAAUGUUAAUAUCAUGUAGUUACAAAAGACUUUAUUGUGACAACAUUAAGAGUAUCAAAUGUAUCCACUGCUAUGACUUACUAUUAGUCUAUUACAACUACUGAUCAUAAAGAGAUAAGAUUGAAUUGUAAGAUCAUAAAACAAAAUGGAAAAGGUGUUAGAGGACACACCAUUUUAGUGAAGAAGGGGGCAGACCCUUAAUACUGGCAAAUAGAUAGAGGCGUUAUUGACCAGAUAAUGCAUCCCAAUGAAUA
rnacentral:lncRNA from 1 species